GAGACAGGCGUUGGAAGUUUUGAAGUAUGUGACAAACCUUUCCCCUUCUGAGAAAUGUUACAUGUGGAUGAUGGUAGCCAACGUCCGGUGUCACGAAUCGUAAAUACUGACAAGGUGUAGUUUUGACUAUGUAAGACAAAUCUGAAUAAAGGCAUCGACGUG